GACGAACGCUGGCGGCGUGCUUAACACAUGCAAGUCGAACGGAAAGGCCCUGCUUUUGUGGGGUGCUCGAUUGGCGAACGGGUGAGUAACACGUGAGUAACCUGCCCUUGUCUUUGGGAUAACUUCAGGAAAAUGGGGCUAAUACCGGAUAGGAGCUCCUGCUGCAUGGUGUUGGUUGGAAAGUUUCGGCGGUUUGGGAUGGACUCGCGGCUUAUCAGCUUGUUGGUGGGGUAGUUGCUGACCAAGGGUUUGACGGGUAGCCGGCCUGAGAGGGUGACCGGCCACAUUGGGACUGAGAUAGGGCGCAGACUCCUACGGGAGGCAGCAGUGGGGAAUAUUGCACAACGGGCGGAAGCCUGAUGCAGCAACGCCGCGUGCGGGAUGACGGCCUUCGGGUUGUAAACCGCUUUCGACUGUGACGAAGCGUGAGUGACGGUAAUGGGUAAAGAAGCACCGGCUAACUACGUG
rnacentral:rRNA from 1 species